AUCAAGGUGGCACAGGCAGUAUGGAGAGCUGCCUGGAGGGGGAGCCCGCGAGCCCUGGCCCCAACAAUGUAAAGAACUGGCCGAAGCAGCAAAGGCAAAGUGACAUCCAGUGACAUCCGGGAAUGUUCUGCCACUGGGCGGGGCUUCGACCCAGGGACCCUGAAGGCUGCAGCAGGGCGCUCCAGAGUCUCCCCGAAGCCCAGGGCUCUUCCCUGCCACCAGCUAGCUCUGCUCCAGCCAGGCCCAGAGAACAUGUCUGUGCCAGCAAAUGCGAGCCCCAGCAGGUCCAGUCCAGGUGCUACGGGUAGAAAAACAGGUGGUUGCGUGGUGGGGCUGAAGUGCAGGGCUUGGACUUUGAUCCUGCCAAGAGUGAAACCUCUGACGUGGUCGGUCGUGAGUGUUGUUCCAAAGUCAGUUAAAAAGUUCAACAUGGAAGGUUUUCAUCAUGCAACAGUCUGACCAAGUGGUAUCAAGUCCAUUCGCAGCAUUGCAAAUGUCAUCGCUGUCUAGCUCCUGACUGUUUCCAUUUCUCUACAUGAAACUCUGCCUGAUCUUGGCUGCUACAAAGCAAGCUGUUUCCGCUGCCACAGGCCCCUGCACGUGCAUUCUGUCUCACUUCAGACUCAGAGCAUCAAGGCCAAGCAACCACAGACAGCAACUGUGAGGCAAAAUACGCCUUUUUUCUCUUUUUAAAUUGAUUUAUCUUGGCUGUUUGUCACAGUGGUAGAAAACUAAUACAGCCUUAGUGCGAUCAUUACGGCCACUACUGUCUUCACUCAACUACUACAAAGGGGGGGUGGGCAGGAAAGGGAAUGCAGGAAGUGAAUGUGUGGCCACCUCCUCUGGCAACAAGUUAGGGUGGGCAGGAACAGGUGUCCCACUGUGAGCUCUUGGCCUCCACCCUUCCUUCUGCGCCACUCAGCCAAACCAGCAGCAGCUGUCAAGGUCACCGUCAUCUGCUGCACUUUCCCAGGGAAAGGUGGGGCUCUGCACCUGUGCCCCAGGAAGGCCGUUCCCAGGAUCCUCACAUCUAUCUGCUCCCAUGCACUUCCCAGUGUUUUGGCUGCAGGAUGAUGCUGGGGCCGGCCACCUGGACGUUACCAUGGGAUGACUUCCCACCAGGGUACGCUGGAUAAGCUCAACCAGCCGAGUAGGUUUGCAUAGCCGCCCACUUGGUGCUGGCACUAAGAGCAGAGGGUGGGGCCUGGUUUCCAGCCACGCCCUCCCCCAGGAAAGCCUGGAGAACCCCAGGGCAAAGGAAGGUAGACCCUCUCAGUCACAACCUGGAAGGGUACAGCCGAGCAAGGUUUAUUUUUAAAACCUCCCCAGGGUGUCCUGGUGCCAGGCAACCUGGAUUGGAAACCACUCUUGUAAAGCAAUGUUUUUGUGCACAAGGAAGAGCCUAUGCCACAGAGGUGUUCCGUCAAGUUCAGGGUCACCUGCAGCCCCUUUUGGGUGCAUUGUUACAAGGGGCCAGUUGGGGGGGGCUUUUCUUAGAGGGAGGCUGCAGGUGGGGGC
rnacentral:lncRNA from 1 species